rnacentral:tRNA from 1 species
CAGAAUAAAGUUCACAAGAAUAUUUCCCUUACAAAGAAAAGGUAGCUGAGUAAGCUUAUUUUGA